AGAGGUUUAGGUUAAAUAAGACCAAGAGCCUUCAAAGCUCUAAGUAAGUUAAAUUUCUUAACCUCUG
rnacentral:tRNA from 1 species